UGCCAUCUGCGUUGUAAAACAGACAGGUAUUGGAAUUGUGUGUUAAAAGUACAUGUCACAUAAUGUAACUGACAACGGAAAGCAAGUUUCAUUCAGCCCAUCCUCGCAAGCUUUACCAUUAUGUGAAAACAAAAAAGUGUACGUUUAAACUAGGUUAACUUUAAGUUCCAGUAUGCAGCAAAUUAACUAUAAUUCCCAGAGAGUGUUGCAAAGCAAUAAUCCCGUGACGUAAUGGCAACUGUUAGGAGGUCGAUGGUGCCGGCUGAGUGGACAGCAGUCGAGAAACGUUUUCCAAAGGCGGGAAAAGGCAAGGUGGCGCGUGCCUCUGUGUAUCUUGUUGGUCCGGCCGAGGAAAAACACGAGUUUGUGUACUGCUGCAAAAGUGCUGCACUUCAACGUGAAUUAUUUGGAUAACAAAAGCAACGGGUGUUAUCAUAUGAUUUGCUGAGAUGACUAAAAGAAAGAAAGCCAACACAUUGG